AUGGCAAGAAGAAUGGAAAAGUCCCUGGGAGCUUUAUUCAAAUUCAGCUGAAGCUGGCCAAGAAAAGGAUGUGAUACAGAGUUAUUCAAAUCUAAAUGUCUAGGAGAGAGAAAUGGCCGUUAUUAAUGACAGUUAUACAGAUGGAGCUUUGAAUUAUUUCUGUUGGUACAAGAAGAAAACGGGGAAGGCCCUAAUAUCUUAAUGGAGAUUCAUUCAAAUGUGGAUAGAAAACAGGACAGAAGGCUCACUGUACUGUUGAAUAAAAAUGCUAAACAUGUCUCCCUGCAUAUUACAGCCACCCAACCAGGAGACUCAUUCCUGUACUUCUGUGCAGUGAGAA
rnacentral:lncRNA from 1 species